GGUAGUAUGGCUGAUUUAAGCGGUAAUCUGUAAAAUUACACAUAGGUUCAUCCUUUCUACCA
rnacentral:tRNA from 1 species